ensembl:misc_RNA Metazoa_SRP Metazoan signal recognition particle RNA
GCCAGGCAUGGUGGCGUGUGCCUGUAAUCCCAGCUACUUGGGAGGCUGAGGCAGGAGAAUUGCUUGAACCCAGGAGGAGAAGGUUGCAGUGAGCCAAGAUGGUGCCACUGCACCCCAGCCUGGGUGACAGAGCAAGACUCUGUCUCAA